GUAUCCUCUCUCCAGCAGGGAGUGCUGGUAAAGGGUGGAGAGAGAGAUACUGGGAAGCUAGGGGGUGGAGUGAGCUCCUGUGAAGGCAUGUGACUGAAUGUGACCUGGGUGGAGGGCUGCAUCAUGAGAAGAAAUGGCUUGCUGCCAGGUUGGACCAGCUGUUGGCAGGGGGCACUCAAGAAGAAGAGCCAGCUAUGUGAUGCCCAGCCAUAAGGAGGAGCACCAGCGGGUUCCUUGUUUAUCUGAGUCCUUGGGAUCUUUAUUUGUGGCUGCUGCUAGAGAGCAAAGUCCAGUCUCUGAGAUGUGCAGAGCUCUGGGAGGUAGCCGGCCACCAUAUGCCAAGAUGUGCUUUACACAGGGCUGCCAUGUGAGCAGGAAGAUAAAUUUGCUUUGGUCUAGACUGAACAAAUGUAAGAUGGAGGAACAGCCCAUUUCAUGCUGCUGUGCAUUGCAUUAGCAAAAACAACAGUGCCCGGCCCUGAAGGAAGCGGGUAAUAUUUUAUUCGGGAAAACCUGGGGUGAGUGCGGUGACAGGUAGGCUGCCUUUUGAACAACAUUGGAUCACCCGUCUCUGUUAGACCUUAAUUUUUCAGGGCUUGUAACUUCUAAGCGUAUUGCCUUGAAUGUAUUUUCUUUGGACUGUGUCUGGUUGCAAAAGGGACGUCAUCUCAAAUGAGAGAGAACAGCAUUCCUUGGACUUUCCGCUCAGCACGUCUUUAUUGGGAAGUUCUGGCUGUCAAUGUGGCCCAGAGAGGGCUUCAUUGGUGCAGCCACUCUUUGACCCUCUCCCAGGGAGCAGGAGAAUAAGCCAUUUGUCUAGUGAAGUGUCUUCUAUUGGAUGGACUCUCUCAAGGACGACCAAAAUGAUCUAAAUCAGCAUGCCCGAUGCUCAUGGACAUCGCACGGAAAUGAGGCAGAGAACAGACUCCUUAGUUUUCAGAGCAGAUGGAGGGAGCCAAAUGUUCCCGAGUCAAUGGACAGCUGGCGUCAGGAAACAUGUAUAGUUGGCUACUCAUGAAAACCUUCAAGGUACUUUGGAGCACAUGCUUCCUUUCUCCUGACAUGUCACAUUUCUUACACUUAGGCUUUUUACUGUUGGCGGCAUUGCAGCGUACUAUAUUGGUUGGCUAAGUAUGCAGGCUUGAUGUUUAUGAAAUGACAAAUGAGGCAAUGAUUGAAGCUACGUAUACUUUUGUUUCUUGGAUAUGUGCUAAGGGAUAUCUGAGCUGUAAUGGGGCAGGUCAAGGUCUGGGAAAAAAGGCCUUAGCAUGACUGACUUUAGGAGCUCAAUCCAUUUAGCUUAUUGAAGAGGAGGUUCCGAAGCAACUUGAUCGCGGUCUGUAAGCUCAUAUGCUGGGAGAAGAUUUCUUCCAUUUUUGCUAAAUGGAAGAAGAGCCAUUUUGGUUGGAAGUUUAAAAUUAGAAACAUUUUAAAAUGGAAAUAAGACACAACUCCCUUACAGUGGAGAUAAUUAACCAUCGAAUCCGCUUUCCAAAGGGAGGCAUAAAUUCAUCAUUCUGAAUCUUUAAAUUGAGACUUGAAUGUCUUUUCUAAAAGACGUGCUUUAGUUCAACCACAAGUAAUUGGGCUGGGUAGCGUCAUGCAUCAGCGGACAAAUACGACUAGCAAGUAGUGCCCUGGAGCUUUUCCCAGGCUGGCCAGCCUAACCCAGAUGAGCAGUGUGUCUAGACCUUACCACUUAAAAGGCUCAUCUGUCCCAUGUUUGGUCCUACAACAAAAUAGAGCCUCACGGUACAUCAGAGUGACUAAUAUAUCAAUUAGAGCUGGUUGGAAAAUGGGCUUUUUUUCCCCCCCCAUAGAAGAUUUUGACUUUUUUUUUCAAAGUUGAAAACUUAACUCUUUUUUUGGCUGAAGAACUAAGUACAUAUAUUGAUUAGAAAAUACUGUGACAGUGCCUCCCCAGAGUAGUUGAUCAUGUGUCUCAUGCUUCCGUUUUCCUCUGUAGGCUGGCUCUAGAUUUGGAUUACAUCUCUUAUAAUGCCCUCUUGUCUUCCCUGACAUUUAGGGGAGGUGGUUGCAUCAUGGGAGUGCCUGGCUACAGUGCAUCAUGAAAGAUGUAGUUCCCCUGGGGAGCCUGGCCCAUUUAAAGAGAAUGGGGACAUGAGGAAACAUUACUACAAGUCCUGUGAGGCACCAUGGCAGACUAUCCAAAUCAAAAUAUUACUGCUUUUUGGCUGAAAUAUUUCAGUGUUGGGUUAUUUAGGGUUUUUAAAUGGAAAAAUCAAAGUAUUCUAUGGAAAGCCAGCACUUCUACAUAAACAUAAUAAAAAAAUGUUCAUAUUUUUUUUCCUGUGGAAAAUUGGUUUUCCCUCUAAUGUUUUUAGAGUUCCAACCACCAUAGGGCUUAUGGGCUGGAGCUCCAUUCAAGAUAUUUGACCAGGACAUUGGAACAUCAAAAAGAGAGACUUCCCUCAGAAUACACCCCAUGUUUUACAGUGCACACAGCUCAGGCCAUCACAAGACUUUGGGAAUUUAGUCAGUGCGGUGUGGAUACCUGCUUUAUACAGACAAAAGCAAUAAAUCCAGCAGUUAUGUACCUCACUGUUGCCUCAAUCCAAAACUCCUCAUCGGUGGGGACAUAACCCUCAACCCUUUGCUAUUGUGUCAGAGCCCUACAAAACUGCACAGCCGUUUGUCCUUCAAGCAGGGAUCUGCAACUGUUUCAAUACAAGAGCAUUUUAUGGCGUGUAGUAUUUUUCUCCUGAAAGGCUUUGCAGAGUUAAUGCAAGGUAGGCUAUAGCAUAAAUCACCAACAAACAGCUAAAGGAAGGCUGCUGUUUUUCCCCUCUUUCUCUGAGACAUUGCUCUCAGUUCAUCAGUUUUAUAGCCGUGCCUUGGAAUAGCUGAAUACCUGACUCUCCUUAAAAGUUUUGGAUGCUCCAUUAAAUCAGGGCAGCUGCUGAGUGAGUCUGUCUGUACCCUUUCUUGGCUGCGAGUCAACAUAAGGGAUUUGGCUAGUGUCAUUUCAUCUGAAGGGCUGUCUUGUUGUUCUGUUAUACUGGACAACUUCUGGAAGCAGUUUUCCUGGGCUAUCAAAAAAUU